rnacentral:misc_RNA from 1 species
GAUGAAGAACGCAGCGAAAUGCGAUAAGUAAUGUGAAUUGCAGAAUUCAGUGAAUCAUCGAAUCUUUGAACGCACAUUGCGCCCGCCAGUAUUCUGGCGGGCAUGCCUGUCCGAGCGUCAUUUCAACCAUCAAGCCCCCGGGCUUGUGUUGGGGACCUGCGGCUGCCCGCAGGCCCUGAAAACCAGUGGCGGGCUCGCUGUCACACCGAGCGUAGUAGCAAUCACCUCGCUCAGGGCGUGCUGCGGGUUCCGGCCGUUAAACAGCCUUACAAAACCCAAGGUUGACCUCGGAUCAGGUAGGAAGACCCGCUGAACUUAAGCAUAUCAAUAAGCUGAGGA